AAACUUUACUGAGAAAAUACUCCGAACAGAUUGGCCUCUCUCUCCCUCCCCGCUCUGCUUCCUCCACCUGCCUUAUACCUUCAGACUAGGAUGUAAACCCUCAGCUCCUGCUCCAGUAUCAUGCUUUCCUGCCUUCUGUCAUAUUCCCCCGCCAUGAUGGUCAUGGACUCACCCUCUGAAAAUAGGAAGUGGAGAAGCAGAAACGAAGCCAGAGAUGAUGGUGCUGAGAGGGAGGAACCGUCUGACCUUAGAGAAGCUGAUGAUGAACCUCAGACAUGGGUUGGCUGCAUACAGGACAGGGUGUGAUGUGGUUCUAGUUGGAGGAUGCUCAUUUCUCUUCUGUGAAUGAGGCCCAUCUGCCCAAGGACCGGUCGUGAGGAAGCUGCUGAAGGUGGGCACUGCUGGCUGAAGAAUAUGGACCAACUAGGGGACAGAGGCUGCAUCGGAGAGUGUGAAUGUUUGUGUCACUAGCUUUCCAAUUGUACCAUCCUUAAUAAGAUGGAGAGGAGAGAGCAAGGUAUUCCCCUGUUUUGCCUAUGCGCAAUCAACAGCAAUAAAUAAUAAUAAUAAAA
rnacentral:lncRNA from 1 species